rnacentral:rRNA from 1 species
UAAGGAAUAUUGGGCAAUGGGCGCAAGCCUGACCCAGCCAUCCCGCGUGCAGGAUGACGGCCCUAUGGGUUGUAAACUGCUUUUGUUUGAGAAGAACUAAGUACAUUAAUGUGCUUUUGACGGUAUCUUACGAAUAAGCACCGGCUAACUCCGUGCCAGCAGCCGCGGUAAUACGGAGGGUGCAAGCGUUAUCCGGAAUCACUGGGUUUAAAGGGUGCGUAGGCGGCAUGAUAAGUCAGAGGUGAAAGCU